AUGAGUGAUUGGGUACUAGUUCCCUGAUCGGGUACUAGGUCUCUUGCCUUAUAUUAAAUAAAAAAAAAAAGAAGUUACUUAAACCAAGAGUCCUGAAUAAAUAUCUUGAGCAUCCUACCCGUGAUGCCAGUAGUAAUUCGACUAAAUCUCUUGUUGUCAGGACGCCAGGACUAUUUAGCAGCGGCAAUCCUAUUAAUGAAAGCCUUUGUCUAGAAAAAAUAAUUAAUAGUUUGGAUAAAAAUAUUGAGGUCAUAAGUCAUCUGUCAAAUUUAGGCGAAUAAAUAUAUGGAGGAUCAAGUAUCUCAACAUUUUUCUCCCCUAAUUACUGAUCUGUUUCAUCCAGGAUACUUAAUAACUGAUAAUAAUAUUAAUAAUAAUUAAAAAUUGAGUAUGUUGUGAUUUUAUGAAAAUCGGGGGAGACAAAAAUAACCUUCCUCGUUAUUUUCUUUGUCUAUUUGUACUUAAAAAAAAAAUUGUGUGGUGUGCAUUAUGAAUUAUAAAUAUUUAUUUCUACAAGUCAGUAGAGGAAAAAUAAAUGUUAACUUUUAAUUAAAAUAAUUAUCUUUAUUA